UAGGGAAUCUUCGGCAAUGGACGAAAGUCUGACCGAGCAACGCCGCGGGAGUGAAGAAGGUUUUCGGAUCGUAAAACUCUGUUGUUAGAGAAGAACAAGGACGUUAGUAACUGAACGUCCCCUGACGGUAUCUAACCAGAAAGCCACGGCUAACUACGUGCCAGCAGCCGCGGUAAUACGUAGGUGGCAAGCGUUGUCCGGAUUUAUUGGGCGUAAAGCGAGCGCAGGCGGUUUCUUAAGUCUGAUGUGAAAGCCCCCGGCUCAACCGGGGAGGGUCAUUGGAAACUGGGAGACUUGAGUGCAGAAGAGGAGAGUGGAAUUCCAUGUGUAGCGGUGAAAUGCGUAGAUAUAUGGAGGAACACCAGUGGCGAAGGCGGCUCUCUGGUCUGUAACUGACGCUGAGGAUCGAAAGCGUGGGGAGCAAACAGG
rnacentral:rRNA from 1 species